UGAGUUUGUUUACCUGCCUAAGUGUUCUUGGAAGAGCUGGCACUGAGCCUGAGCCAUGAUCAUCUCCUUGCCCACUUGCUACGUAGUCUGGCAUGGGAUGCACGUCAGCGGUAAGAGAUGCUGAGCUCAGGAGUCAAGAGCGGAGGUGUUAGCAUCCGGCCAAACCAACCCGGACCGCAUCCCCGGCACCUACACUUCUGAGCUCGGUGUUCGUGCAAUGCCACAUCGGGAACUUGAGACCGUCCACGGCGGGGGAACUUACAGUACGCAGAUUGGCAAAUGCCAUGAUGGGCAGAGGAGUUGGUUGAACCCCACACCCCUGGGCGCCAGAUUCCUGGACCCCACAGCCUAGACUCCACGCCCGGACUCAACACGCUUAAGAUUUCACUCAGAUCCCCUCCCCCCACGCCCACACUGCCCCCGCCCUCUCUGUUCCUUCCAUCAGAAAAGCCCGGACACUCCGUUUCUCACCUGUUUCCUUGUUUCGGUCCUACGGGAUACAACUGAAUAAAGGUUAGCAGGGUUGGGGUGAACAAG